AAAAAAAGAUAGAAAUGAAUAAUUGGAGAGGUAGGGUGCGCGCGCGGGGCGGGGGGGAAGGGGGGGUGAGUAGGAAAUCAUAUGGAUGGACGAAAAUAUAUCGUCGACGAAGAGAAAGGAGUUAGGGGUCUGACCGGGCGUGCAGGAUAAGUCAUAAGUACUGAAGUGGACCAUUACUUACCCUUGAGUAUCUGUCAGCCUCGACGAAUCAUGGGAAUCGAGCGCUGAUUGGCUGAGCGCCGGGGAUUCGUCGCCCUGAUUGGCCGGGAGGCGGCGGCGCUCGUGUGGCAUCUUAAAGGCGGUUACAGAGCCUCACUUCGCGCCGAGGACAGGAUGGGGCAGAUCAGACGUCAGUGUUGCUGGCGACGGUGCGGUGGAGGGACUUGCGUGUCGUGCGCGCGUUCGUGAGGGAACGGGCGUUGAAAUACACUAAUAGUUAAGGAAAAAGAACGAAACAAAGUGAUACACUCUGAAUACCCAACAAAAGAAGCACAUUCUAUCUCCCAAGAAUAAUUU